rnacentral:rRNA from 1 species
AACGAACGCUGGCGGCAUGCCUAACACAUGCAAGUCGAACGAGAUCCUUCGGGGUCUAGUGGCGCACGGGUGCGUAACGCGUGGGAAUCUGCCCUUAGGUUCGGAAUAACAGUUAGAAAUGACUGCUAAUACCGGAUGAUGACGUUAAGUCCAAAGAUUUAUCGCCUGAGGAUGAGCCCGCGUAGGAUUAGCUAGUUGGUGUGGUAAAGGCGCACCAAGGCGACGAUCCUUAGCUGGUCUGAGAGGAUGAUCAGCCACACUGGGACUGAGACACGGCCCAGACUCCUACGGGAGGCAGCAGUGUGGAAUAUUGGACGAUGGGCGCAAGCCUGAUCCAGCAAUGCCGCGUGAGUGAUGAAGGCCUUAGGGUUGUAAAGCUCUUUUACCCGAGAUGAUAAUGACAGUAUCGGGAGAAUAAGCCCCGGCUAACUCCGUG